AGAAUCAACGCUGGCGGCGUGCCUAACACAUGCAAGUCGAACGAGAAAGUGGAGCAAUCCAUGAGUAAAGUGGCGACCGGGUGAGUAACACGUGACUAACCUACCUUCAAGUGGGGAUAACCUCGGGAAACCGGGGCUAAUACCGCAUAACAUCUUUGGAGUGGAAAUUCUGGAGAUCAAAGGAGUAAUUCGCUGGAAGAGGGGGUCGCGGCUGAUUAGCUAGUUGGCGGGGUAAUGGCCCACCAAGGCUUUGAU
rnacentral:rRNA from 1 species